GCUUACGGCCAUACCACCCUGAACACGCCCGAUCGUCAGAAAGCUAAGCAGGGUCGGGCCUGGUUAGUACUUGGAUGGGAGACCGCCUGGGAAUACCAGGUGCUGUAAGCU
rnacentral:rRNA from 1 species